AAAAAUUACAGACAAACUACCUGCUAGCAAGGAGGAAGCUGAACUGAACCUCGAAUGAAUCCCUUCCUCUCUAGACAACAACUUUUGGGUACCAACGCUAGCAAUCUUGACAGAGAAGGCCUCUCAACAGUUUGGCUCAGGCAAUUCACAAAGUGAGGAACUGGAUGAAUGAAAACAGCAAGGUGAAGGUGAUUUCAGUACAGAGACUGUGGAAGUUUAUGAUGAAAAGCAGCCAGACGAAUCAUGAUUCUAAUCGAAUAACUUCCAAACAGGGAUGGGAAGUGAACCCAUGGGACUUCACUGACUUUGAACAACCAACUGUCAAAGGAGUGCAGCAGAGGGAAAGGGGAGUGGUGUGUUAAAGGGACACUUGGCCAUCAGACUUUCACACCACAAGGUGCUCAGGGAUGGUGUUUAGUUUUCGCAGAUAAUUGAGGGGGAAGGUCAUGCCAGUUUUAUUUUGUAACAUUAAGAGGAAGCCUUAUAUAUUGAAAUCUAUUCUCCGCUAUUCAGAGGUCUAUGUAAGAUGAGUUUGGUGGUCACAGUCCAGUUCCGAGUGAACAAGCGUCCAUGCUUCAAAAAGUACCACCACAA